UACGGGGGGGGCAAGCGUUGUUCGGAAUUACUGGGCGUAAAGGGUGCGUAGGCGGUUUGGUAAGUCUUAUGUGAAAUCUAUGGGCUCAACUCAUAGACUGCAUGAGAAACUGCCGGGCUUGAGUAUGGGAGAGGUGAGUGGAAUUCCUGGUGUAGCGGUGAAAUGCGUAGAUAUCAGGAGGAACACCUGUGGCGAAAGCGGCUCACUGGACCAUAACUGACGCUGAUGCACGAAAGCUAGGGGAGCAAACAGG
rnacentral:rRNA from 1 species